rnacentral:rRNA from 1 species
CCUACGGGUGGCAGCAGUGAGGAAUAUUGGUCAAUGGACGAGAGUCUGAACCAGCCAAGUAGCGUGAAGGAUGACUGCCCUAUGGGUUGUAAACUUCUUUUAUAGGGGAAUAAAAUGUUCCACGUGUGGGAUUUUGUAUGUACCAUAUGAAUAAGGAUCGGCUAACGCCGUGCCAGCAGCCGCGGUAAUACGGAGGAGCCGAGCGUUAUCCGGAUUUAUUGGGUUUACAGGGAGCGUAGGUGGAUUGUUAAGUCAGUUUUGAAAGUUUGCGGCUCACCCGUAAAAUUGCAGUGGAAACGGGCAGUCUUUCGUACCGUCGAGGUGGGCGGACUUCGUGGUGUAGCGGU